GUGAGGAAUAUUGGUCAAUGGGCGAGAGCCUGAACCAGCCAAGUCGCGUGAAGGAAGAAGGAUCUAUGGUUCGUAAACUUCUUUUGCGGGGGAAUAAAGUGCGGGACGUGUCCUGUUUUGUAUGUACCCUGAGAAUAAGGAUCGGCUAACUCCGUGCCAGCAGCCGCGGUAAUACGGAGGAUCCGAGCGUUAUCCGGAUUUAUUGGGUUUAAAGGGUGCGUAGGUGGUUUGAUAAGUCAGCGGUGAAAGUUUGCAGCUUAACUGUAAAAAUGCCGUUGAAACUGUCGGACUUGAGUGUAAAUGAGGUAGGCGGAAUGCGUGGUGUAGCGGUGAAAUGCAUAGAUAUCACGCAGAACUCCGAUUGCGAAGGCAGCUUACUAAGCUACAACUGACACUGAAGCACGAAAGCGUGGGGAUCAAACAGGAUUAGAAACCCUAGUAGUCC
rnacentral:rRNA from 1 species